rnacentral:lncRNA from 1 species
CCCUGCUUGCCAAUCUUGCCACUAACUGAGCCACCUUCCUUUAUUGGUAAUUGAUUUCCAGCGUGAUCAACGAUCAUCGUAUCCUCCUCCCUCCGCCCCGUUUCAGCCUCCUCCGAUAGCGGAUCAUUACGAAGCCAUUUUUCACCCGAAUUCCUAACACCUCGGCGAGUCUAAAUCACAAGGUAUUGACUGUAAGGAUAAUCCUUCCUAUCAAUUGGAUUUUCAUAAAGCUUUGAGCAAAA